ACAAUUAUAUCCAUCGAAGAUAACAGCCUCCCUUAUCGUAUUCUUCUUCUACUUAUCUUCGGCUCUCCACAACAAUGGCGGCACUGGAAGCUACGCUCUCCCUCUGCCCAGUCUACUCUUCUUCUUCUUCUUCCGCUAAAUUCCCGAAACCAUUCCUCUACUCCUUGAAGUUCCAUAAUUCCAUCUCUGCGCCUCCACUUUCCCACAAUUUGCUUUUUCAUCCUUCCCUGCCCAUUACAAAUAGCCCAUCGAGAAAACUCUGCUUUGAGCUAUGCUCGGCGGUCCAGGAAAUUGUAACAGAGGAAAAAUCUGAAAAAACCCAAGAAUCAAAUCAGAAGAAAAAGCUUUUCGUGGUCAAUUUGCCAUGGUCACUCACUGUUGUGGACAUCAAGAACCUAUUUGGAGAAUGUGGAACUGUCGUGGACGUUGAGAUUAUAAAGCAAAAAGGUGGAAGGAGCAGAGGCUUUGCCUUUGUGACAAUGGCUUCUGGGGAAGAAGCUCAAGCUGUCAUAGAUAAAUUUCACUCUCAAGAAGUUUCAGGUAGAGCUAUAAGGAUUGAGUUUGCGAAACGAUUCAAGAAACCUUCUCCUCCACGUCCUCCUGGUCCUCAACCAGGAGAGACAAGGCAUAAACUAUAUGUGUCUAAUCUUGAAUGGAAAGUAAGAUCAAGCCAUCUCAGAGAAUUUUUCUCUACAAAUUUUAAUCCGGUUGCAGCCCGGGUUGUCUUUGAUGCCCCUUCAGGAAAAUCUGCGGGGUAUGGAUUUGUCUCUUUUGCCACGAGAGAGGAAGCUGAGGAAGCAAUAUCCACCUUGGAUGGAAAGGAAUUGAUGGGCAGACCACUUCGCCUGAAAUUCAGUGAGAAAAACACUGACAAAUCUGAAAACCAAAAGGAAGAGCAAGAUCAGCCUGAAGAAUCAUAGGUCCAAAUAGAUUCUUUUGUCUAUCUCUAUUAAUUGUUUGCAGAUAUGAAUAGAAACAAGGCAGAAGCAGAAAUUUUGACCUCAAUUGACCAUAUAAGAGUGGAAGAAUUUCACUGAGAUUAAUACAUGGAAUUAGUUAUAUCUGCAUACAUUAGGAGUGGAAGAUGGGACUUCAUGUAUAUGUGUCAAGUAAUAAAAGAAAGAAGAUAGGACUUCAUGUAUAUGUGUCAAGUGAUAAAAGAAAGUGGUUGACAAAGAAAAGGUGUAGACAUGACUUCAAUUUAAGCAUUUUUAACUUCCACCAAAUUAAUAGACAGUGGCAUAUAUUCUAUCAGCAAUACUUAAAACUUUGGUAUUUUUUUCAUUUAUGAUAAGCUAAACCUUAAGUGCAUGUGGAUCCUAUUCUUUGAUCUACUUUUUGUUAGCAAUAUCAAAAUGUUGUGAGGGUAUUAAAAGAUUAGUUGAUUUGGAGAGAAUGGACAAGACAGAAACUAGAGAAAAUAAAAGCUAACCAAAGUUUGUCGGCAGUGUAUUUGUAGGCUUGAUUUAAUGAUAAAAUCACAGAGAAUAUACUCAGAGAGUAAGAUUCAAACCUCUCUCAAGUUGUAAUAAAAGAAAAAAAAAAAAUAUAUAUAUAUAUAUAUAUUGUAGGCAGUUAUUUGUUAAAGAGAUGAGUGAUAACUUUAAGCUCUUCAUAUUCACAUGACUAGAGAAAGUUUCUUAAUUGUCUAAAAACUACCUUAAUUUACUAAUCUAUCAUUCCGUUAGUAAUUUCCUACUUCAACUAGCUUUGCUCAGAAGAUAUUCUGAGACUGAGGGAAAUUGGCUGCUGAUAGUUUUUGGUUGAAUACACUUUCUGGGAUUUGUGUAACCCUAAAGCUUUGUGCUCUGUCAUCUAGAUUUCCUUAUUACAAAGUGGGAUAAUCUUUAAUUUACCAAAUCCUUUAUCAAAGUAUUUAGUCCAAAAAACUUUCUUAAAUUGAGAGAAAGAGAUGCUGGCUCUCGAAGAGAAUAUAUGCCCAACUCAAGUGGAAUUAAAGGUCGUUUAUUGAGACCCACCAGAACGUACUUCCUUGCAUUGAGAUCUGACAAAAAGACAAUGAAGUUUUGUAUUCUCUUGAUUAAUUAUAUAUAUAUAUAUAUAUAUGUAUAUAUAUACAUAUAUAGUAUAUGGACAAAAAUAAUAUGAUGAGAAAUUUGAAAAAAAGAAUUAUGAAAUUUAGCAUUCAACUGUCAAAUCUUAUGAUUUUUGUAAUUUGAUAAUUGUAUAUAACUGUCCUUUACAGUUCUUUUCUAUAAGUUAUUUCUAUAUCAAAAUCGCGUGUAUAUAUAUAUAUAUAUAUAUAUAAAUAUAUAUGAGGGUUUAGAACUCAGAAAAAUAAUUUUGGCUGGCAAUUUCGAUGGUUUCACAAGGAUCAUUACAAAUGUGGUAGACGAUCUUCUAGACAGCCUAACCGCUGACGUGGAUGGGAGAUAUAAUCUUGGGGUUUUUAUUUUGUUUUAGUUUUACUUAAUUUUACCAUGUUUACGUAACGCACAGGUUUUUGACUGAGGUUGCUUGUUGAUAAAGAUUAUUUUAUGGUUAUCCUUUAUCUUAUUUCAUUUUUCUUUUUAUCGAGGAAUAUGAUGACCAAAUUUACCUUUAAAAGUUAUUGAGACACAUGGUCUUAAUAUGGUCUACGAAGGCAGAGACUUUAAUGAACUUUUUUGUCAGCAGAGCAUCUUUUUUUAUGUCCUUUGAUUUUAUCAUAUCAGCUAGAAAAAGAAAAAUAAUCCUUUGAAUCUCUCUUGCAAAAAUUGCACUUCCAAAUAUUGGUAGACCUAAAUUGACGGCCACAAUUUUCCUGUUUAACUUUUCUUUUGGGGUGAUGUAAGUAUAACCAGGUCAAUAUAUAUCAAGUUUUUUACACUUGUCUCUAAAAGUAUAGAAUUAAUUGAGGUAUAUAUCCUCCAUUAUGCUGACCAGUGACCCAACUGCAACUGGCUUAUACAAUAAUAAAAGCAUUGAUUACUUUAUUGAAUUCCCAACCAACAUCUCCACCUUAGUCAACAAACCAUUAUCUCGAUAAAAGAUUGGAAAAAAAUAAAGAAAAAGAGAUGAACAGCAAAAGAAAAGAAAAAAAGAAUACCCAUCAGCCCCCCUUUCUCAUCUUCUCUGUCUUUGCUUUGCUUUCUUUUCCAUGUAAGCUCCUUCGGGUUCUCUACAAAGAAAUUUACAAUGCUGUUGGACCUGGCUUUUCUCUCAUACUUCCUUCCCUUCUCGUAACAUAACCCAGAAUAAUCCAAAAAUACCAAUUUUCAUUGAAGGAAGAGAAAAAAAAAAAAAAAAAAAAAAGAAAUCCUGUGUGUGUCCACUCCAAAUAACAAUACUUUCUUCAGCUUAUAUACAGGGUUCUUAUAUGGUUGGUAAAUAUUAUCACACACCCAAUAGUUUGAUUCUAUAUUGUGGAGGGUGAGAAAACUAUUUCAUCCUGUCCCAUCAUUUUUUUGGUACGUAUGUAAUAUUGCCAAUUUCUUUUCCCUAUCAAGACGUGAACAAGGUGGUGGUGACAGAAUUUGAUAAGAGGGUGAAGGAUUUGCCUGCUCUAUUGGAAUGGUGGGGCCCAGAGUGGAAGGCCAACAAGGCCUACAAUUGUCAAUAUGAUUGGGCCACAGAAGUGAAUAUUCUAUUAGUCCAGAUACAUCAGAUCGGGUUGGUUCAACUGCAACUUUGUUUUGGUUAAUCAUGAAAGAGGGAAAUCCGAAAUCGUACACGAAAUAAAAUGCCAAUUUAGAAUGAUUGUAUUUACAGGGUUAGAUGGACAAAACUUUGCAUUAGAUUCAUUGUGGUCUCGUUCACAUUGUUAUCACUUGGAGGUCUUAGACAAGGCCCUCUAAACCAUUGUUUUCUUAUUUUAUUCUGUAAUUUCAUUUUUCAUUUUUUUUUUUUUUUGGGGAAACUGUAAUUUCAUAUUAUAGUAGACUUUGAUUAGUGCCACUUCAUUCGAGUAAAGCCAUUUUGUUUCAUCUUUA